rnacentral:rRNA from 1 species
GACGAACGCUGGCGGCGUGCUUAACACAUGCAAGUCGAACGGGCCCGCCCCUGUUUUUGGGGGUGGGUUGAGUGGCGAACGGGUGAGUAUCACGUGAGUAACCUGCCCCCUGCUCCUGGAUAACUGCUUGAAAGGGCGGCUAAUACGGGGUGUGCCGGCUGGUCCGCAUGGGCCUGGUCGGGAUAGUUUCAUCUUCGGGUGUUUCGGUGGGGGAUGGGCUCGCGGCCUAUCAGCUUGUUGGUGGGGUGAUGGCCCACCAAGGCGGUGACGGGUAGCCGGCCUGGGAGGGUGGGCGGCCAAACUGGGACGGAGACACGGCCCAGACUCCUGCGGGAGGCAGCAGUGGGGGGGAUUGCACAAUGGGCGGAAGCCUGAUGCAGCGACGUCGCGUGAGGGAUGGAGGCCUUCGGGUUGUGAACCUCUUUCUCCGGUGGGGAAGGCCCUGUCCGUUGCGGCGGGGUUGACGGUAGCCGGGUAUGAAGCGCCGGCUAACUACGUG